rnacentral:rRNA from 1 species
AGCUGGUGAUGGCCGUGUAGUGGACUGCCAUGGCGUUGACGGGAGGGGGGAUUAGGGUUCGAUUCCGGAGAGGGAGCCUGAGAAAUAGCUACCACUUCUACGGAGGGCAGCAGGCGCGCAAAUUGCCCAAUGUCAAAACAAAACGAUGAGGCAGCGAAAAGAAAUAGAGUUGUCAGUCCAUUUGGAUUGUCAUUUCAAUGAGGGAUAUUUAAACCCAUCGAAAAUCUAGUAACAAUUGGAGGACAAGUCUGGUGCCAGCACCCGCGGUAAUUCCAGCUCCAAAAGCGUAUAUUAAUGCUGUUGCUGUUAAAGGGUUCGUAGUUGAACUGUGGGCUGUGUAGGUUUGUUCCUGGUCGUCCCGUCCAUGUCGGAUUUUGGUGGCCCAGGCCCUUGCAGCCCGUGAACAUUCAAAGAAACAAGAAACACGGGAGUGGUUCCUUUCCUGACUCACGCAUGUCAUGCAUGCUGCAGGGGGCGUCCGUGAUUUUUACUGUGACUAAAGAAGUGUGACUAAAGCAGUCAUUUGACUUGAAUUAGCAAGCAUGGG